AUGAACGCUGGCGGCGUGCCUAAUACAUGCAAGUCGAGCGAACAGACGAGGAGCUUGCUCCUCUGACGUUAGCGGCGGACGGGUGAGUAACACGUGGAUAACCUACCUAUAAGACUGGGAUAACUUCGGGAAACCGGAGCUAAUACCGGAUAAUAUAUUGAACCGCAUGGUUCAAUAGUGAAAGACGGUUUUGCUGUCACUUAUAGAUGGAUCCGCGCCGCAUUAGCUAGUUGGUAAGGUAACGGCUUACCAAGGCGACGAUGCGUAGCCGACCUGAGAGGGUGAUCGGCCACACUGGAACUGAGACAUGGUCCAGACUCCUACGGGAGGCAGCAGUAGGGAAUCUUCCGCAAUGGGCGAAAGCUUGACGGAGCAACGCCGCGUGAGUGAUGAAGGUCUUCGGAUCGUAAAACUCUGUUAUUAGGGAAGAACAAAUGUGUAAGUAACUAUGCACGUCUUGACGGUACCUAAUCAGAAAGCCACGGCUAACUACGUG
rnacentral:rRNA from 1 species